GUGUAAUUACCAGUCUUGCCUCCCCACAAAGUCUGUAGGUUUGUGCUGUGUUUGUAUGUGUGAUCUGAGCGCCAUCCGGUGGACAGACGACAUUUUUAUUUGAUACUCGCGCCAUUUUUGCGUUGAGUAUGGGCGCAACCAAGUGCAUAAUUGGAGGGGGGCACUCACCCAUUUUCCUUAACAAACGGAAAUAUAUUAAAAACGAGUAGACGUAAAUAAAUAGAAUAGAUGAAAAGACAGAUCAGUUUGCAAGGUUCAUUAAAGGGGGACAUAUAGAAAACAUUUUCUACUGUAUAUUGGGAGGGAAAGAUUGGUAUCACCUCAACAUUGGCGGGGACACGCCCCCCCAAAAGAAUACGUGGUUACGCCCAUAGUUGUAGGAGACACAGCAGCGACGGAGUCGGAGUAGGAGACACAUUUUUCCUCAGGAGUCACGACACAGCAGACACGGGGUUUUCUUUCUUCAAUUUUAACUUUUCUCAGGAGUUUAAGGCCGACGUUUCUGCAGACAUCAUGGCUGGAAAUGCACAGCAGGGCAACCAACAGGCUGUACCACAAGACGUGGUGGCGAGACGAGCGUCCCUGCAGACUUUAAUUGAUGAUGCAUUGCAGGAGCUUCAGAACGUUGUAUCACUUCAAAGACAGCUGUUCCGUGCGCAUCUGGAGAAGGGACACUGCGACCAAUCAGCUCCUGCUACACACCGACUUGAGAUGGCUUAGUAUAUAUAAUCACACACACGCACUAUAAU
ensembl:lncRNA